GGUGACAUGACAGAGUCUUAAACCGAACACAAAAACUAUAUGUAAAACAUUCUGCUGUACAAAAACUCACCAUGUACAAGAGGCGUGCGUCAGGCAGCUUUUCUGUAGGUGGUUUAAUUCAAGCAUUGGUGGUCUGAUUAGCCAACGGUGCUGGGAUGAGCAGGCACGGUCGCAACGUACAGGAUCUAAGGUUUUGACUGGAGAUGAGUGGUAUAGUCAACAAGCUUCACGGGCUUUAAAUCAAGCAGUUGGAUGGGUCAUUCGUCAUCGUCAUGAUCAUGGAGCAAUCAUUUUU
rnacentral:lncRNA from 1 species